GAGGUACAGAGCAUGCUAAUGAAAAGUCUGCCUGGAGGCCAUUUACAGUGUCACAAGAUGCCUGAAAUCUCUCUUUAACUGAGGCUAAUUGGACAGCCUCCUCCUCAGAAUAAAGAGCAGUGGCCAGGGAAGAGGUGUGGCCAGAGGCAGAUGCUGUACCCCUGUCCAGUCAGAAGACAGAAAAUCCUGGAGGUGAUGUAUGGCCAGUAUGACACUGGAGGAUUUGAUUUUGUGAAACUCCAGCUGCAGACAAAAGUGUACACACAAGACAACCUGCAUAUUACAGAAUGAUCUGAGAAGCCAGCAACAGUCACACCACGCGCUCUCUCUCUGAUGAUGCCAC